rnacentral:rRNA from 1 species
GUGGGGAAUAUUGGACAAUGGGCGCAAGCCUGAUCCAGCAACGCCGCGUGAGGGAUGACGGCCUUCGGGUUGUAAACCUCUUUCAGCAGGGACGAAGCGAAAGUGACGGUACCUGCAGAAGAAGGACCGGCCAACUACGUGCCAGCAGCCGCGGUAAUACGUAGGGUCCGAGCGUUGUCCGGAAUUAUUGGGCGUAAAGGGCUCGUAGGCGGUCUGUCGCGUCGGGAGUGAAAACUCAGGGCUCAACCCUGAGCGUGCUUCCGAUACGGGCAGACUAGAGGUAUGCAGGGGAGAACGGAAUUCCUGGUGUAGCGGUGGAAUGCGCAGAUAUCAGGAGGAACACCGGUGGCGAAGGCGGUUCUCUGGGCAUUACCUGACGCUGAGGAGCGAAAGCAUGGGGAGCGAACAGGAUUAGAUACCCCGGUAGUCC